rnacentral:rRNA from 1 species
CUCGGCGGCCAUGGCGGUGGGGUCACACCCGUUCCCAUUCCGAACACGGAAGUUAAGCCCACCAGCGCCGAUGGUACUGCCCGGGCCACCGGGUGGGAGAGUAGGACGCCGCCGGGA